rnacentral:lncRNA from 1 species
UCAUACUCCUGUGAAUGUUGCUGCCUCUCAACAAAUGCCUUUGCCUUUAUGCUAUUCAGGGUCAAAUGAGGCAGUUGAGACUUCUGAAGGAGCACAACGGGAACAAAAUUGUCCCAGUCUAGCUACUUCUGAGUCAAAUCGGCCAAUCUUUAACAGCUUUGAUGGACAUCCUGCUGCAAUAAACUUGCUAAGUUGGUUGUCACCAGCCAGAGGUGGGCAUUGGCUCAGUCCCUGUGUGAGUUUGGCCAUGCAUUGCCAACUAGAGAUGCCAACAUGAAUGCAGAGAGCCCAACGUAGAGAGCCUGCGUUCCAGACACCAUGGUGAUCCCUUUGAGUCAGGAUUAUAUGAAGUUAGCAUAGCAGAGUUUGAUCCUUCUUCCUGAGAAUGUGUCAUUUCUGGAGGUAUAUUUUGUAUCUUUUAGUCAAUUUUGCCUUACCAGAUGGACCACAGAUGACUGGCAACGAGACCUUUUGUUGAGUGAGUGACCCCACUGUUAAGGGAAUGACUGCAUUUUGAGCUCCGCCAUGGAGAACACUAUCCAGCUGCAUGUACCAUUGACUCCUGGGCUCCUCCUGGGAAAGUACUAUUAUAGAAGUACGAGAAUCCAGAAAUAAUGAAUAGAUUCCCAGAGUUUUCCAGUUUGCGCUGUCUUUUUGGAAGCUUCUUGAAAAAUCAGAGUCAAGGGCAAGUUCAAUUUCUGGGUGCUGAUCCCUCGGUGCCCCGUCACUCAUAAUGUCUUGUCUCUGAGACUUCUAUAUUAGCUGUGUAAGAUUAAAAAUUAAUAUACAAAUAUCCCAUGUAUUCUAUUUAAUAAGAUUUAUUAAUAAUAAUUACUUGAAGUAAAGGAAAAUAAAAGCUAGAGCAAAGAGGGAUUUAACA